rnacentral:rRNA from 1 species
GUUAGGAAUAUUGGACAAUGGGCGCAAGCCUGAUCCAGCCAUGCCGCGUGAGUGAUGAAGGCCUUCGGGUUGUAAAGCUCUUUAGCCGAUGAUUAUAAUGACUGUAGUCGGAAAAUAAGCCCCGGCUAACUUCGUGCCAGCAGCCGCGGUAAUACGAAGGGGGCGAGCGUUAUUCGGAAUCACUGGGCGUAAAGCGUGCGUAGGCGGCUUUGCAAGUUGGGAGUGAAAGCCCAGGGCUCAACCCUGGAAUUGCUCUCAAAACUGCAAGGCUCGAAUUCGGGAGAGGAUAGCGGAAUUGUCAGUGUAGCAGUGAAAUGCGUAGAUAUUGACAGGAACACCAGUGGCGUAGGCGGCUAUCUGGACCGAUAUUGACGCUGAGGCACGAAAGCGUGGGGAUCAAACAGGAUUAGAUACCCUAGUAGUCC